rnacentral:rRNA from 1 species
CAGCAGCCCGAGUGGUGGUCGUUUUUAUUGGGCCUGAAGCGUCCGUAGCCGGUCUAGUAAAUCCUUGGAUAAAUCGUACAGCUUAACUGUACGGCUCCCGGGGAGACUGCUAGACUUGGGACUGGGAGAGGUCGGAGGUACUCCAGGGGUAGGGGUGAAAUCUUGUAAUCCUUGGGGGACCACCAGUGGCGAAGGCGUCCGACUAGAACGGAUCCGACGGUAAGGGACGAAACCCUGGGGCGCGAACCGGAUUAGAUACCCGAGUAGUCC